GCCAAGCAGUGAUGAUGACGACUUCAUGUCUCUUUACUGAAACCUCCUGAUGGUUUUAAGUCACUACCUCAUCUGAGCUUGUU
ensembl:snoRNA